CCAAUAGCGUAUAUUAAAGUUGUUGCAGUUAAAAAGCUCGUAGUUGAAUUUCGGAAUCAAGGUGCCAGUCAUGCCUUUGGUAUGCACUGACAUCAUUGAUUUCUCCCUUCUGACGAACCAUGAUGUCAUUAAUUUGGUGUCAUGGGGAAUCAGGACUGUUACUUUGAAAAAAUUAGAGUGUUUAAAGCAGGCAAAUGCUGGAAUACAUUAGCAUGGAAUAAUGAAAUAGGACGUUUGAUCCUAUUUUGUUAGUUUCUAGGAUCUACGUAAUGAUUAAUAGGGAUAGUUGGGGGCAUUAGUAUUCAAUUGUCAGAGGUGAAAUUCUUGGAUUUAUUGAAGACUAACUACUGCGAAAGCAUUUGCCAAGGAUGUUUUCAUUAAUCAAGAACGAAAGUUAAGGGAUCGAAGACGAUCAGAUACCGUCGUAGUCUUAACCAUAAACUAUGCCGACUAGGGAUCGGAUGAUGUUAAUUUUUAAUGACUCAUUCGGCGCCUUACG
rnacentral:rRNA from 1 species